rnacentral:rRNA from 1 species
AGAGUUUGAUCCUGGCUCAGAUUGAACGCUGGCGGCAUGCCUUACACAUGCAAGUCGAACGGUAGCAGGCCUUAGGGCGCUGACGAGUGGCGAACGGGUGAGUAAGACAUCGGAACGUGCCCGAUCGAGGGGGAUAACGGAGCGAAAGCUCUGCUAAUACCGCAUAAGAUCCGAGGAUGAAAGCAGGGGACCGAAAGGCCUUGCGCGGACGGAGCGGCAGAUGGCAGAUUAGGUAGUUGGUGGGAUAAAUGCCUACCAAGCCGACGAUCUGUAGCUGGUCUGAGAGGACGACCAGCCACACUGGGACUGAGACACGGCCCAGACUCCUACGGGAGGCAGCAGUGGGGAAUUUUGGACAAUGGGCGCAAGCCUGAUCCAGCCAUGCCGCGUGCAGGAUGAAGGCCCUCGGGUUGUAAACUGCUUUUGUACGGAACGAAAAGGCCCUGGUGAACAACCGGGGUUGCUGACGGUACCGUAGGAAUAAGCACCGGCUAACUACGUGCCAGCAGCCUCGGUAAUACGUAGGGUGCGAGCGUUAAUCGGAAUUACUGGGCGUAAAGCGUGCGCAGGCGGACAUGCAAGACAGAUGUGAAAUCCCCGGGCUCAACCUGGGAACUGCAUAUGUGACUGCAUGACUGGAGUACGGCAGAGGGGGAUGGAAUUCCGCGUGUAGCAGUGAAAUGCGUAGAUAUGCGGAGGA